UACGACUACAUAUCAGGCAUAUCAAUAAGCGGAGGAAAAGAAACUAACAAGGAUUCCCUUAGUAACGGCGAGUGAAGCGGGAAGAGCUCAAAUUUGAAAUCUUCAAGGUUCUACCUUGACGAAUUGUAGUUUAAAGAAGUGUUUUCUGUUAAAUGAGUAGCAAAAGUUCCUUGGAAUGGGACAUCAUAGAGGGUGAGAAUCCCGUAUUUGGUUAUUCAUUCUAGCUUUGUGAUACACUUUCAAAGAGUCGGAUUGUUUGGGAAUGCAGUCCAAAAUGGGUGGUAAAUUUCAUCUAAAGCUAAAUAUUGGCGAGAGACCGAUAGCGAACAAGUACCGUGAGGGAAAGAUGAAAAGAACUUUGAAAAGAGAGUUAAACAGUACGUGAAAUUGUCAAAAGGGAAGCGUUUGACACCAGUGUUGUUUAGUUGAAAAUCAAUUCAAUAGUUUUUGAUUCUAAGUAGUAUUGACUUCAUCAGCUUGCUGCUUUCUUCUCAGAAAUUAUUGAAUGCACUUUUCAGUUAACAAGUCAACAUCAAUUUCUUUUGUUGUAAAAGGGUAAGAGGAAGGUGGCUUGCGCUUCGGCUCAAGUGUUUAUAGCCUUUUAUCUCUGCAAUCGGAGAGAUUGAGGUCUGCAGCGUAGAUCCUUCGGGGUUAGAUACAUUGGUGCUAAGCUAUAGCCUUGUAUAGACAACUUGUUGACUAUGCUCAGUCAUGUAGCUUACUCGCUGAUGCUAUUUUACCUACGCUUAGGAUGUUGAGUAGCGACAUACGCAC
rnacentral:rRNA from 1 species